rnacentral:lncRNA from 1 species
CUAAGGAGCUCGAGCCUGUCUUGGGGUGGAGCCAGGACCCAGAAGCCAUUGCCAUGAGCCACCAGCUGGCUCUGAUCCCAGGAACAUGUGCAGCUGCUGCACAGGCCAGACUAGUCCUGAAGACUGUCACUGUGCCAGCCCCUCCAUUUGGUAUGAUGAAAAUGAAGGAAUAAACAAUUUCCCUUAACUCUGUGUGGUCUAAUUUAAGGGCCUUUCAUUAGUAC